CAGUCGCCGCGGUAACACGGAGGGGGCUAGCGUUGUUCGGAAUUACUGGGCGUAAAGCGCACGUAGGCGGCUUGGUAAGUUAGAGGUGAAAGCCCGGAGCUCAACUCCGGAAUUGCCUUUAAGACUGCCGAGCUAGCAGGUGAGAGAGGUAAGUGGAAUUCCGAGUGUAGAGGUGAAAUUCGUAGAUAUUCGGAAGAACACCAGUGGCGAAGGCGGCUUACUGGCUCAUACUGGACGCUGAGGUGCGAAAGCGUGGGGAGCAAACAGGAUUAGAUACCCCUGUAGUCCCUGUCUCUUAUAC
rnacentral:rRNA from 1 species